GUGUGGAGGAAAGGGCUGUGGGGGCCAUGCCCGAGCCCACCGCGGCCUGCCACAGGCCCAGAGAUGCCCCUGUCUGUGGGGAGAGCCCUCCUCCUCCGGAGCUCUGCGACAGCACCGCCUGCUCCGGAGCCGCAGGCUGCCUCCCUGGCCCAGAGGAAGGGAAACUUUAUUUUCUGCAGCACCUGUAAGUACUGCUCUGCCCAGAGAUAAUUCUUUAUAGCCUAUCUCUGCCAUUCCCAUGUCCAUGUAACAAAGGCAAACGGGAUUGAUGUAUUCCAUUGGAACAGGGCUAGAGUGAGCACCUUUGAUCUCACACUCACUAGGAAGGAGUAACGUAAUAGGUUUGGCUUCCUCCACUCCUCACGCGCAGGAAAUCACAUCAAAGCUGCCCCGGUAAUUUAAAACAGUCUGUUAACUUUGCUGAGUCAUAAAUGGAAACACCAGCACUAAUUCCCCACUAUUCUCCACAACACGUUCUGCAGGAGGGGCAGUUUGGGAAAGAGCUUAACUUUAAACUGAAUGGAGUUGAAAAGCUACCACAAGGAAUGUGCCUGGCUCCCCUUGCCUUCCCUCUCCUCCCCAACAUCCCCCCAGCAGCAAGCCAACUUUUCUGCAAAUAAAAUGUUGGCAUUUCAUCAGUAAAAUGAGUUUUUUCUUUUCUCACACCAUCACAGAAGUGUAACAAAGGGGAAGAGAAAAUGAAAUAUUCACUAGGUGCCUGCAGUGAACUAAAAAUAAAAAUUACCUUUCCCUCUCUUCUCCUUCUAAAAAACAAGAGCAAAUAGACACGCUUAGUCCCUAGGAAAAGGAAGACCCAGAUACAGCAAAAUUGUCGGGAUAUAUUAACUGGAAAUCAAAACCUGAAGCAACUUGCUGUGACGCCUGUAGAACAGUAUUUUUGCUGAGUCUUGAGAAAGAAAUCUAUACUGUCACCACCAGGCAAAAAAUUAGACAGUUCCCUCCCCUGCUCCACUAGCAAGGCUUGAGGCUACUCUUGCAUAAUCUUCACCUGCUGCAAAAAUCAAUGCACCUCUCAUCAGCUUAGUAUUAAAUUACAAGUGCUUUCUGCAUUGCUCACUCUCAGGGACCAAGGAUAGAUCACAUUGUUUAUCCAUCAAAACAGUCUAAAAGCAUUUUCAGCCCAUCCAUUUCUGGGAAGAAAAGAAAAAAAAAGGCAAAAGGGAAGACAACCCACCUGACAGAUCCUCCCCAUUUCAACCUUCAACAAAAAAUUGUAGAAUCUUACAAUGGUUUGGGAUUGAAUGGGUCUUAAAAUCAUCCAGGCAGGGACACUUUCCACUAGAUCAUCAAAUGAGUUGUAAACAUCCCAAUGGGUCACUUUUAUCACCUGAUAUCUUGGUGAUACAAAGUAAUACUUAUCUAAAUAAGUAUUUAUCCAAAUCAGUAUUUACACACUACAUAGCAACAGUCAGUUCCUAAUUAGCUGAGCUAAUUACUCAGCAGUGGCACAUGCCUCUGAGGAGGGAACUGCCCAAGGAUACAAUGCAGGCAGGUCUCUUCUCCCAUCCUGCUGAGCCACUCUCCACCCUCAGCAACACCAAAGCUUGUUCUGUAGGCCAGGAGGAAGGUUUGUGUAAACCAGGUGCCACUUACUACACGGAGCAGUGGUGAGGGCUGCCCUCCUUUGAAGGGAACCCUCUCUGCCUCAGUGCCCUCUGGUCACCACAGGGCUCUGGGGCUUCACCUAAAUUUCCUAUUGCUGGGUGCUGCGGCCACUUGAAAGACUUGCUGUGGUGGAAAUUUGUAUUUUCACUGUGAAGAGCUUUUUCUCCAGGUGGGAGAAGCAGACACUAAACAAACCUCCCAGCUUUGUGGGACAGCCACACCAGGUAGGAAUUAUUUGCAGAUAGAGAAGGAAGAACAAGAAGAGGAAGAAGUGUCUCAACAGUAUUUUUUCUGACGGGUAUUACCUAGUGAAAUAGGAAGCUUCAUAUCAAAAUAAAUAAAAAUGUUAAAUGUU